rnacentral:rRNA from 1 species
AAGGCUGAGGCGUGAUGACGAGGCACUACGGUGCUGAAGCAACAAAUGCCCUGCUUCCAGGAAAAGCCUCUAAGCAUCAGGUAACAUCAAAUCGUACCCCAAACCGACACAGGUGGUCAGGUAGAGAAUACCAAGGCGCUUGAGAGAACUCGGGUGAAGGAACUAGGCAAAAUGGUGCCGUAACUUCGGGAGAAGGCACGCUGAUAUGUAGGUGAAGCGACUUGCUCGUGGAGCUGAAAUCAGUCGAAGAUACCAGCUGGCUGCAACUGUUUAUUAAAAACACAGCACUGUGCAAACACGAAAGUGGACGUAUACGGUGUGACGCCUGCCCGGUGCCGGAAGGUUAAUUGAUGGGGUCAGCGCAAGCGAAGCUCUUGAUCGAAGCCCCGGUAAACGGCGGCCGUAACUAUAACGGUCCUAAGGUAGCGAAAUUCCUUGUCGGGUAAGUUCCGACCUGCACGAAUGGCGUAAUGAUGGCCAGGCUGUCUCCACCCGAGACUCAGUGAAAUUGAACUCGCUGUGAAGAUGCAGUGUACCCGCGGCAAGACGGAAAGACCCCGUGAACCUUUACUAUAGCUUGACACUGAACAUUGAGCCUUGAUGUGUAGGAUAGGUGGGAGGCUUUGAAGUGUGGACGCCAGUCUGCAUGGAGCCGACCUUGAAAUACCACCCUUUAAUGUUUGAUGUUCUAACGUGGACCCGUGAUCCGGGUUGCGGACAGUGUCUGGUGGGUAGUUUGACUGGGGCGGUCUCCUCCUAAAGAGUAACGGAGGAGCACGAAGGUUGGCUAAUCCUGGUCGGACAUCAGGAGGUUAGUGCAAUGGCAUAAGCCAGCUUGACUGCGAGCGUGACGGCGCGAGCAGGUGCGAAAGCAGGUCAUAGUGAUCCGGUGGUUCUGAAUGGAAGGGCCAUCGCUCAACGGAUAAAAGGUACUCCGGGGAUAACAGGCUGAUACCGCCCAAGAGUUCAUAUCGACGGCGGUGUUUGGCACCUCGAUGUCGGCUCAUCACAUCCUGGGGCUGAAGUAGGUCCCAAGGGUAUGGCUGUUCGCCAUUUAAAGUGGUACGCGAGCUGGGUUUAGAACGUCGUGAGACAGUUCGGUCCCUAUCUGCCGUGGGCGCUGGAGAAUUGAGGGGGGCUGCUCCUAGUACGAGAGGACCGGAGUGGACGCAUCACUGGUGUUCGGGUUGUCAUGCCAAUGGCACUGCCCGGUAGCUAAAUGCGGAAGAGAUAAGUGCUGAAAGCAUCUAAGCACGAAACUUGCCCCGAGAUGAGUUCUCCCUGACUCCUUGAGAGUCCUGAAGGAACGUUGAAGACGACGACGUUGAUAGGCCGGGUGUGUAAGCGCAGCGAUGCGUUGAGCUAACCGGUACUAAUGAACCGUGAGGCUUAACCUUACAACGCCGAAGCUGUU